GGGGAAAAAAUCCAGUGACUCACGGGGGGCAUUUGGGCUUGUGGUCCCCCAGAGGGCAUGUCACAGACCGGACCCUGCAUUCAUCUUCCACCGGGGCUGGUAGAGGCUGAGCAAGAAUGAGAGAAGGAAUCUUGCGAGCUGAAUUCUUAAAUGGCUGGUGGGCGUUUACUUCUCCUGCUCUUAUCUGCUCCGUGUCUUUGUUUUCCUCCACCAGGUCGCCAAGGAAAGUCACAGGGGCGUCAGCGCUGAAGGAGCCGGACGAAGGUUCUCUGGUGGGCAAGCAUGAAGGCGGGAAAGACCUGGACAUCAAGCAAGACGACCCCAAAAAGGUUCUUGACAAAAUC